UCCCCCCCCUCUCUCUCUCUCCCCCUCCCUCCAUAUAUAUAUAAUAUAUGUGAACAAGAAGUUAUUGAAUUGAAUCGAACAUUAAUUUGAAUAAAGUGUCUGAACUCUGAGCGUGUAGCUUUUUACUUUAUAGUGAAUUAAAAGUCCAUAUGUUCUUCAUUUUUCUUACACAUAAACUCUCUCUCUGGACAAGAAAAAAACCACCGACCGUCAAAUCGUCAAUGAUCUUGAAUUUGCCGUCCACACUUCGAUCCCUCCCGUAAAAUACACAUAAGUUACAAAAGGCUUUUCCGAUCCGAGACGAUGUUUGAUUAUUGGUGUCCAGAUUCUUGCGGCACUGGAGCGUGUUUCUGAGAGAGAAAGAUUUGUUCGUGAUCACCCCGUUGCACUUUGUUUCUUUGUUACUCUGCAUUUCUUCCCUAGAUUCACUCCCCUCUCUCAUUCCUUUACAUUAUAUUCACGCACUAAAAACACUUUCAGUUUCACAUUUCAACUUGCGGUUAUAUCCUCCACCAACUGCCCUCCUUUCUUCCCCUCAAUUCUACACUUGUCACAUAUAUAUUGCAUGCCAGCAGUUUUCCCGAUUAAGAUACUUGAAGCCGCAGAAGUUAAUUAUCAUUUGGCAACUAGAGAUCAUAAAUUCUUUGGCCUCCAUACGGGCUCAGAUCAUUUAUUGAUAGAUGAAUUAGCGGCAAAGAGGUUUUAGGUGUUUUGGCGUUCUGCUUUGAUGCAACGGCUCGGAUCAUUUACGGACAGAUGCAUUCUUGAUAGAGGUAAGUCCCAUGUGUUCAAAAUCAUGGGCCAAGGUACUAUCUAUUUAUAUUUCACACAAAAUUAUGUCUUGCACAUAUUUUACCCUCCCAGACCCUGCUCUAAGCGGGAUAUACUGGGUUUGUUUGGUUUGGCUUGGAGUACACCCCAUGAGCAGUUCUGUUUUUCUUUUACUUUUCGGUUCAAAUACCCUUGAAAUGGGACGGUUGCAAGAUCAUAUAGGACAUGUAUUGAGGAAAUUAUAUAGGUCCUGCAAUUUACAAGAAGACGGCAGGUUUGUUUGACUAUUAACAAUUUUGUGGAAUUUUGGAUGCCAUCUCUUCAUGAGUUAUGUUUUAUGAAGAUCAAUGUUUACUUGAGGACCGUAUCAAAAUAUUGCAGUAUUUUGAAUAUGAUAUUUUAAAUUUAAUUAUCGUUAACUUUUGUGAUUUUAAUUUCAACAAUUCACCUUUUUUCUUCAUGACAAAAUUUAGAAUAAAAUUUUAUGAUGAUAACAUAUUUGUUUUACAAAAAUAUUAUUUUUGAACCACACCUCAUGGAGAUUAGGUAAUUAGUUACUCCUAUCAUUUAUGAUCGGUUCCAUUUAGCUAAGAAUAGGAAUUAGGAGGGUGUAAAGACGAAUAUAAUAUGUAACUUAAUAUUUUGACGCAUUAUUCACUUGAGGGUUUUGUAUUUGUAAAAAUUGUCAAUUUUGCAUUGUAAUUAGAUACGUGGUAACAAACAUCAAAAUCGGAGAUCAUUUAAAUUACUGAAUUAGGGUAGUAGUAUCCAUCGGAUGAUUUCUAAUACACUCACACCGCCAUAGGUUCGAAUUCUCCAUAUCCUAUAAAGGAAGCGAAGGAGAUACCGCUACACCAAGAAGUGUCGGGUAGACAUCAGUCACAUCACAAUAGAAUUUUGCACCGACUUGGUUCAGUUUUAUGCAACAUAUCGAUGUCAACAUAUUUAGAUAUGAACCAGAGCAGGAUACAAAAAAAGGAUUCAGUAUCUCCAGAACUCCACUGACUAUAUUUAACUUGUAUAUUUGCAAAGAUAUGAACACUUAUUGCAGGGGUGUACGCGGUUCGGAUCAGAUCGGUUUUAGGAUCAAAGUCGAACCAAACCGUAAAUAGCGGUUUUAGAAAAUCUACAACCACAACCGCAUUUGCGGUUGCGAUUAACCACAUAAUUUCAACCGCGGUUUAGCGAUUAUGCGGAUCGGUUUGCAUCAUUUUAUUCUAGUGUCCCCCAACACCAAACUACAGUAAUUCUUACAUGAUCUUCCCUGCAAAGGGCAAUAAAUAUUAUGGUUAUAGUAAGAGUGAAUAUGUAAGAAUCUAAAGACAUGUUUAUAAUUUUUAUUAGCAUGCAGUACUAGGAUUAAGGUAGCCGAGCACCGGAUUUGAAGGAGUCUUACAAUUUAUAUUAGUUAUUACUCAUUAGUCGGACACUUUACAUUUUAUAUUUCUGAAUGUUAACUCAUUCAGUAAAUUUAUUAAUAUUUGCUAAUUAGGAGCAGAGAAUGUUUAUAAAGACUAAAGAGUAAUGGGGAAAGAAUACAUUUUGUAGUGUUACUGUUACACCAUUCUCCUUUUUGGACAUUCUGUUUUAACUUUCAAGCCAGCUUCCACCUUGUCAAAAGACAUGAUGAAAGAAUUUAGCUCAUGUUGAUUUGCAUAACCUAACUUGAAAGUCCCUCGGACAAAUAUUAGUAGUUUUUAUAGUUUGCGAGAAGAAUGUGUAAAUAUGAAAUCAGUCUCUAUUAAUAUAACUAAACAAAGGUCAAUUAAAACUAAAUAUGAGUCCACACUUCAUUUUCUCUAAUCACUAUCGAUAGUUCCAAACAACUUGUCUAUUUUAAUAAUGGCAUCUAUGCGCAUAUAUAGCAAUGCUGCUUUCAUUUCUCGCAUUCAAUUUUGCCAAGCCAAAUAUCAUUAUCAUAAAAAACGCAAACAUUCGCCUCCAAUAUCCCAAAUUUCUCAGCCUCCAUCUGGUGCACCAGCACCAGGACCAUCUAAUGAACCUCCAAGUAAAAUUGGUGCUGUCGCAGAUGGCAUGACUGAUGACACUGAGGCAUUUAAGACAGCUUGGGACACCGCUUGCCAAUUUGAAUACGGGGUUAUUCUUGUUCCUAAUGGUUACUCUUUUAUGAUUCAGUCCACAAUUUUCACUGGCUUCUGUAAGCUAAGGGCGGUCUAGUUUUCCAGGUUGAUGGCACACUAAUGCCACCAGAUGGACCUGAAUAGCAAACAUCAAUGGCUGGUGUUUUACAGAAUCGACGAGAUGUCUUUGCAAGGUGGUGGUGUGAUUAAUGGAAGAGGAGAAAAAUUCCCUGCAAGCCUCACAGGGGACCUAACAUUGCCAGGACCAUGCGACAGCCCAGUUGAGUAGAUGAAAGUGAAACCAUGAAAGUUUUGCCAGAAGUGGUGGAGCGGAUCCUGAUGGUAAUCAACAUGGUGAUCUUUGGGGCCGUUUGGGUUAGCUUAAAAGAAGUGACUUCUUGCUUAUAGUAAAGAAGUGGAGUAGAAGUGAGAAGUAAAUAAGUUAAUAAAGUGUUUGGAAAAGAAGCAGAAGCUGUGAAAGAGAAGCUAGCAUUCUCAGCUUCUUAAAAGUGCUUCUACUUCUUUGCACAAACGGGUCAAGAGAAGCAGAAGCCAGAAGUAGCUUCUGCUUCUCUUGGCCAAACAGGCCCUUUAUGUUACGUUUAACGUAUUCUCGAUAAUUUCUUGUCUUCAUUGGUGAUAUCUACUUUUCCUCAUAUGCCAUUUGGCCAUUUUUUGUAGUUUAAAUUCUGAUAAACUCUAAUUUUAUUGUGAAUACUCUAGGUCCGAGAAGACCCUAUCUUCAGAAGAGAGGGUCCUGACAUUCAUGUUGUUGCCAUUUUAAGUAUUACUCGGGUAUUUACUAUUCAAUUUUCUUUGUUCGACGUUCUUGCAACCCUGGGCAACACAUGACUUAGUACCUUUACCCUUGUCAAACUAUUGACUAUUUAUGUAUGAAUCGAAGUUCUUACUAGAGUUUUUGUAGGAAAUGAGCUAGUAUGAAUACAUUAUUAUUUGGAUACUUACAAUGAAUAAUGAUCUGAGAAAAAAGAAACAAUUUAGUGAUUCUGCAAAUUAAAGUUGAAUGAAUGUAGCCAAAUGAUUAAAAUGUAUGGUUCCUGAUUUAUGACUCAAAACAAAAAAGUAUAUUUACUGAAAUAGUUGAUAUUAAACUAACGGUGGAUGCUAAAGAGUUGUAUGCAUUUAAGUAUUUGUUUAAUAUUUUGAUCAGUUAAAAAAAUUUGUGCAGAAUAUAUACUGUAUAUUAGAGAAAUGUAGAUAUUAAGAUAUGUAAUACUUGUAAAAGAACCUUUAGAGGCUUUUUUUUUUAAUUAAAACAAAAUAUUUGCAGGUUCCAUGAAUAAAUUUUAUGUCAUUGCUUCCAUGUAGAACCCUAGUUUACUUUAUCAUUCUGGACACAUUUGUAGGAAGAAUAUGAUUGGAUACAGAGAAUCCGAUGCAAAGAUAGCUUUGGAUAAUUAAAAUGAUAACUAAAUAUUUUCAACUUCUAGCCGAUGCAGGUCAAUUGAAGAAACCGAGUGACUGGACUGCUUGGAUUUAUUUAUAAUGUAUAAAUGGAUAUUGGUAAGAAUCCACAUAGAUGCAAAGGAAACAGCAGUAAAUUGGUUUAUAGCAUCUUGCCUCAGUAUUUCAAGCUGCAAGGGCUUUUACCUAGCUCGGUGCUUCAAAGAAUAUAAAUAUGUGGCAUCAUAAAGACUCUGUGAAUUUUGUUUUGAUAUUUUUUUGGAAUUUGACCCAGAGGCAGCGUGAAUUGAUUGAGGAGUUCUCAAAAGAAGAGCAUGGAGAAGAUGAUAAAAGGGAUGAGAAAAGGAAUGCAGCUGGCGCAUCAGGUUAACAAAGCUUUAUAUAAUUCCUCUGCUUCAUUAUAGUACCUAGCCGAAGCAGAAGUAAAAGCAAUUUUUUGGGGAUAUCGGAGGCAAAUAUAUUCCUCACACCCAACAUGGAGAGUUUUGUAGGAGUAAGAUUCAUGCAUUGUAACCUUUUCCUUCUGUUCUGAGAGGUAUGUGUAAUGACUUUUAUUAAUCAAAAGAUAAUUUAUAUAAAUUGCUAG